rnacentral:tRNA from 1 species
GUUUUAAUAGUUUAAGUAAAAUAUAGGUCUUGUAAACUUAAGACAAUGUAAAUUUUAAAACU